rnacentral:rRNA from 1 species
UACGAAGGUGGCUAGCGUUGUUCGGAUUUAUUGGGCGUAAAGGGUCCGCAGGCGGUUCGGAAAGUCAGAUGUGAAAUCCCACAGCUUAACUGUGGACACGCAUUUGAAACUUCCGGACUAGAGUAUGAGAGGGGUGAAUGGAAUUUCCAGUGUAGGGGGGAAAUCCGUAGAUAUUGGAAAGAACACCAGCCGCGAAGGCGAUUCACUGGCUCAUCACUGACGCUCAGGGACGAAAGCCAGGGGAGCAAACAGG